UGGGUCGGCCGGAGGCUGUCGCUGCGAAUUCGUGGAAACACGGACCCGCAGAGGAAAGUCCGGACACCUCAGGGCAGCGUGCCGUGCGCAAGCAUGGGGGCUGGAAGCGCAAGCGACCGGUCACGGAAAGUGUCACAGAAAACAUACCACCAGCGGGCGCCGCAAGGCACCGCAGGCCAGGGUGAAAAGGCGGGGUAAGAGCCCACCGCUCCGACUGUAAGGAAGGAGGCAGGACAAACCCGACGCGGUGCAAGACAUAACAGGGGAAAUGGCCCGCCCUGGCCGCAAGUCCCGCUCCGGCGGGAUGGAUAACUCCGGGUAUUAGUCGCAUCCCGCGUCAGCGGGGCGUGCACCAGUCACUUCGGUGGCGGGUGUGUCGAGAGAAAUGACCGCCACCUCCAGCCGCAAGGCUGGAGGCACAAAAUCCGGCUUACACCGGCCGUCCCAAGUU
rnacentral:RNase_P_RNA from 1 species